AGCGCUGGUUCCUGUCUAUGACAGGCGAAGAGGGAAUGCAAAAGGGGGCGACCCCCGAAGCUGCCGCCCCCGCGACCGUGACCGGAGAGGUCGCCCAUGCCACUGGCCGCAAGGUUCGGGAAGGCGGGCGACCGUUAAGUGGCCUGAUCUGGCCGCUUUGGAUCCGCAAGCCGGGAGACCUGCCAGCGCU
rnacentral:ncRNA from 1 species